rnacentral:rRNA from 1 species
UACGGGAGGCAGCAGUGGGGAAUAUUGCACAAUGGGCGCAAGCCUGAUGCAGCCAUGCCGCGUGUAUGAAGAAGGCCUUCGGGUUGUAAAGUACUUUCAGUCGUGAGGAAGGUGUUAAGGUUAAUAACCUUAGCAAUUGACGUUAGCGACAGAAGAAGCACCGGCUAACUCCGUGCCAGCAGCCGCGGUAAUACGGAGGGUGCGAGCGUUAAUCGGAAUUACUGGGCGUAAAGGGCACGCAGGCGGUUAAUUAAGUUGGAUGUGAAAUCCCCGGGCUUAACCUGGGAAUGGCAUUCAAGACUGGUUAGCUAGAGUCUUGUAGAGGGGGUUAGAAUUCCAUGUGUAGCGGUGAAAUGCGUAGAGAUGUGGAGGAAUACCGGUGGCGAAGGCGGCCCCUGGACAAGGGACUGACGCUCAUGUGCGAAAGCGUGGGGAGCAAAC